GUGACUCUCCAAUUUUCAUAGUCAUGAAAAUAAAGAAAACUCUUUGAAUGAGAAGGUGUGUCCAAACCUUUGGUCUGUACUGUAUAUAUAAAAUGUCCAUGAGUGUCCUGUCAUAUUUACAUAAGAUUUUACAAUAUCUGCACUUUGAGGUGUUAAUAGACGGUUAUGGUUACGGUUAAAUUCAUGUUAAUUUGUUAUCUUAUUUUUCACGGUUAAACUGAAUUUACGUUAGUUUCCUAAACUAAACAGCAUUAUGAAAUAAAGACUAGCAUAAUUAUUUUGAGGCCACUGAAGUGGUAAUUGUUGAAAGUAUGUUUUGCAUGUAAUGUUUCAGACUUGUCGAGCUUGUGUCUGCACCGAGAGUUAAAGACACAGAAGCUGUUUGUGUGAGGAUUCACAGACUGUGAGGAGACAGUGUUCUUCUGAAGAGAGGGACAGACGGGUUUAAGGAGAGUACAUUUCAGAAUUCCAAGUUAUCUUUAUUCUUACUAAAAUAAUGUUUGUUUUUGUAGAUGUUUAAACCAUUUAUGUCCCUUUUUUCUUUGCAGAACUCUAACUUUGGAGUUAAGGAUACAGUAGUCUGCUUGUGUGAAGAGAACUCAAUCCAACUUUGAAGUUGUCUGAUUUGGAGAGUCAUCAUUCUUGGUCUUCCCUCUUAAAGGAAUAGUUCACACAAAAAAUAAUUUACUUGUCCUCAUGUCAUUCCUAAACCUAUACUUAUGUCUGUCUUUACAACACAAAUUAAAAUCUUUUUAAUUUCUCAUAAUUUUUUGUUUAUCCAUUUAUAGUCUAGAUAAUCAGUAUUUUUAAGGCUCAUAAAUACAGAGUUAUCGUAGAAGUAAUCCAUUCCAAUAUUUAAAUAUAAAUCUUAAAUUAUAUAAUAGCGAACAUGUUAACAUGUCACCCACACUUACAAUGGAGGACAAAAAUUAAGAGAAUAUUAAAUAUAUGUAUUUGUGUUCCAAAAAUUAUCAGCAUUUGUAUGGGUCUGGAGCAACAUGGGGUGGAGUAAAUUAUGACCAUUUUUCAUUUUUUGGUGAACUAACCCUUAGAAUAGCAGCCCUCCACGUACAUGAACAUUUGUGAGGCCGCUGCUGAAGAGCAGGUGGUGACUGGAUGAAUGCUGGUCAAAGAAGAGCAUGUGCUUUCCCCCCAAUUUGAUGCAACGGUGGUUUUAAAGGAGGACGCUGCCCUGGAUGAUGUAAAAGAUGGCACAUGCUGUGCUGAUGUGGCUUCUUCAUGAUUAUAUCAAAUAUGCUAAAGAGAUCAUGUAAACUGACAGUGAUGCAUGAUCUGUAUUCACGGACUAUGAAACAAACUAAGUGUAUAUAAUUUGUAAAAAGUUAAAUGCUUGUUCUGCGUUUAGUAGAAGAGUUUACACGGUCAUUCAUACACAGGGUUAAUUGUUCAAUUAUUGUAUAAUAGAUUUUAAUACAAUAUAUAAAAUUUAACGGUCCAAUUUGAUCUCAAGUUAUAUUCAACAAAUGUUCAAUGCUUUAAGAACUCUGUGGCUGUUAAUGCCAUACCUUUCUGCAUUUCUUAUAUGCAUGUUACUUUUCUCUUGUUUUCAAUAAAUAUUUACCUUUUGAUAGUCAUUCUGUGUGUGUAAAAGUGAUUUUUAAAAUGUUGCAUACACAAAGG